GGUCAAAAGGGUCACCAAAAACAAAAACUAACACUUAAGUGACACCUUUCAUUUAAUUUUCUCAAGAUACAUACACAUCAAUUCCAAAACCGACCCCCUUAUGUUUUCUUCUUCUUCUGUCAGUGAGGAACACAACUAAAUUCCAGAAAAUCCUGGUAAACUCGAACCUGCAGUAGCCGCGUCCUAUCCCCCUUUUCCCCCUUUAGAAAGAUGCCUCUCUUCCAUAGUUGCCUCAAAAAAGGGCACAUGAAUUGAAAUUUCAAAUUUGAAAAAUUCAUCUAUUUAUCCCUCUUUCAAUUCUAAUCUCAGCCUAUAAAUAUUAGAGGUUUUUGAGUUUGGUUCUAAGAUCACCGCAAGAAUUUUCUUAGCUCUGCAUUCGUAUACGAAAUUCGUGGUGGAAAUUUCUUUUUGGUCAAGCUUUUUGUCCCGGAACGCUGCUUCGGAAAAGUUCACUUUGGACUCUACUCAUGCAUAUCUUUGAGUCGUUUUGACAUCCAAGUUCACUUUGGACUCUACUCAUGCAUAUCUUUGAGUCGUUUUGAAUCAUCCUCAUAUUUACAGUGAAAGAGAAGUUGAAACAGGCAAUGAAAAGUCCCAAAAUGGGAUGUAUACAUGUCAUAUACAACAGUAUACACCGAUAUAAGUGGUGAAUAUUGAAAUACAGGUCCGAAAAUCGAAAUGCAGGUGCUGGAAGUUGAAGUGGGUUGCAUACAUUUGUAUACAUACCAAGAUACAGGAAAUGGGACUGAUAUAUGAAUUGUAUACACUGAUUCAACUUGUGUACAAAAACAGGAAUUGGUAUAAAGUCCAAAAGGAACAUCUUUUGCCCAAUGUUUCUGGGCAGCAAUAAGCUCAAAAAGCCCAAAUUAUUAUUCGAUCUCUUUAUUAUUUAAUGGGAAAUUUUUUAAAAUGUCAAUA